CCCGUCACAUCAUGAAAGCCGUUUGUACCCGAAGUCACCGUGCUAACUCGCAAGAGAGGCGAGGUGCCGAAGGUAUGGAUGGUGAUUGGGAGUG
rnacentral:rRNA from 1 species